GUCAUUUUCACAGAAAUCGUUUCCUGAAGAUUCUGCUAAAGGCAGAGAUGAAGAAGCAUGAUCCUCAUCUAAGAAGUUAAUCCUCUCAGCAGAAAGCUCAGUGACUUGGCAAGGAGGACAGGUGCCCAGAUGGCUUUGUACUACCCGGCUCUCCCUACUCCUGCUGGUAGUUCUUGGAAUAACUGUAGAAUAUACAGAGACCGCAACAUCCUAAGUUAAUUUUAGAGAUGCAGAAAAGGAAGCCCACGGAAGGAUAGCUGUCUACGCCUGUCCCUUUGUCAAGCCAGAAGCGAGGCGAGAAUCCGAGUAUCCAGAGUGAGCAUUUGGCGUCAACCAGCUCUCCAUGGCCUCAUCCAAAAAACACAGCUGCAUAAGGAUGAUGUGCUAGAGCAAGACCUACUGGAAACAGCCCUUAAGUAUUAACACAUGCUACAUAAAAUACACAACUUGAGCUUUGCAGACUCUAUUGACCCAAGAAUCACGUAUUUACCAGGGCAGCA
rnacentral:lncRNA from 10 species